CUACGGGUUGCUCCAGUGGGGAAUAUUGCACAAUGGGCGCAAGCCUGGUGCAGCCAUGCCGCGUGUAUGAAGAAGGCCUUCGGGUUGUAAAGUACUUUCAGCGGGGAGGAAGGGAGUAAAGUUAAUACCUUUGCUCAUUGACGUUACCCGCAGAAGAAGCACCGGCAAACUCCGUGCCAGCAGCCGCGGUAAUACGGAGGGUGCAAGCGUUAAUCGGAAUUACUGGGCGUAAAGCGCACGCAGGCGGUUUGUUAAGUCAGAUGUGAAAUCCCCGGGCUCAACCUGGGAACUGUAUCUGAUACUGGCAAGCUUGAGUCUCGUAGAGGGGGGUAGAAUUCCAGGUGUAGCGGUGAAAUGCGUAGAGAUCUGGAGGAAUACCGGUGGCGAAGGCGGCCCCCUGGACGAAGACUGACGCUCAGGUGCGAAAGCGUGGGGAGCAAACAGGAUUAGAUACCCCAGUAGUC
rnacentral:rRNA from 1 species